GACGAACGCUGGCGGCGUGCCUAAAACAUGCAAGUCGAACGGGGUGUCUGCGGACACCCAGUGGCGAACGGCUGAGUAACACGUGGGUGACCUCCCGCCGAGUGGGGGAUACCAGCUCGAAAGGGCUGCUAAUACCGCAUCCGGUCCCGGGGCAGACCCGGGAAGAAAGCUCCUUCCGGAGCGCUCGGCGCAGGGCCCGCGGCCGAUUAGCUGGUUGGUGAGGUAACGGCCCACCAAGGCGACGAUCGGUAGCUGGUCUGAGAGGACGACCAGCCAG
rnacentral:rRNA from 1 species